CCUUCACGCCUGGGCUGCCGCCGCCCGCCGCCCGCCGCCGCCUCCGACAGGCCUCGGCCGCGUUGGUCCUUCUCGGGGCUGCGUGCCGCCCUCGGGUGGCGGAACAGGCUCUCGCGAGGAAGCCCUCCUGGCCAGUGAGGGAACAGUGCGAGCGAGCUCACAGUCUUUUAGAUGUGGACAGAUCCCUAGAUGAAAACAGAUGACAGAAACUUCCUUUCCUAAGAAGAACGUCUUCCAAACAUGAAGAUAUCCUUCAUGAAAUGUAUCGCAUUUAUUCUUUGGCUACCAAUUGCCCUCGGAGGACCGGCUUAAAAGCAUCCCAUAUGAUAGAUGGACUAACAUCAUCUGUUAUAUUUUCCUCAAAAUACGUUUUAAUAGCUGUUUCCAUCUCUAUAGCACAUUCUUGAUUUUCUAAUAAAUAUUUCUGCAAGACCCAUGUUAUCUGUUUUUUAUCUGCAUUUAACUCAAAUGUGCAUUCUACCCAAUUAUGAUCUGACCAUUGUAAAGUACCAAUGGUUGAAGAUUGCACUUUAGCUAACAACGCUGGGGAUAUUAAAAUAUAAUCUAUACGUGUGUAAAUCUUAUGAACUUGUGAAAAGUAUGUAUAAUCCCUUUCCCCUCUAUGAAGCUGCCUCCACACAUCUAUAAGGUUAUACUGUUCCAAUAAAUCUGCUAAUGGGGAUGGUUUAGAAAUUGCCUUCCUUUUUUUAUUCUGUUUUCUACUAUCAUAAGAUCUGUCUAAAGCAGAAUUUACAAUAAAAUUUAGAUCCCCACCAAU